UCCAGACUCCUACGGGAGGCAGCAGUGGGGAAUAUUGCACAAUGGGCACAAGCCUGAUGCAGCCAUGCCGCGUGUAUGAAGAAGGCCUUCGGGUUGUAAAGUACUUUCAGCGGGGAGGAAGGUGUUGUGGUUAAUAACCACAGCAAUUGACGUUACCCGCAGAAGAAGCACCGGCUAACUCCGUGCCAGCAGCCGCGGUAAUACGGAGGGUGCAAGCGUUAAUCGGAAUUACUGGGCGUAAAGCGCACGCAGGCGGUCUGUCAAGUCGGAUGUGAAAUCCCCGGGCUCAACCUGGGAACUGCAUUCGAAACUGGCAGGCUGGAGUCUUGUAGAGGGGGGUAGAAUUCCAGGUGUAGCGGUGAAAUGCGUAGAGAUCUGGAGGAAUACCGGUGGCGAAGGCGGCCCCCUGGACAAAGACUGACGCUCAGGUGCGAAAGCGUGGGGAGCAAACAGGAUUAGAUACCCGGGUAU
rnacentral:rRNA from 1 species